ACUAUGAAACUGCCAUUGAUACUGCAGGUCUUGGGUAAAUUUAAAGUGGCUGGAAUAAGUAGUGUAGCGGUGAAAUGCAUAGAUAUUACUUAGAACACCAAUUGCGAAGGCAGGUCACUAAGAUUUAACUGACGCUGAGGGACGAAAGCGUGGGGAGCGAACAGGAUUAGAUACCCUGGUAGUCCACGCCGUAAACGAUGCUAACUCGUUUUUGGAUUUUCGGAUUCAGAGACCAAGCGAAAGUGAUAAGUUAGCCACCUGGGGAGUACGUCCGCAAGGAUGAAACUCAAAGGAAUUGACGGGGGCCCGCACAAGCGGUGGAUUAUGUGGUUUAAUUCGAUGAUACGCGAGGAACCUUACCAAGACUUAAAUGGGAAAUGACAGAUUUAGAAAUAGAUCCUUCUUCGGACAUUUUUCAAGGUGCUGCAUGGUUGUCGUCAGCUCGUGCCGUGAGGUGUUAGGUUAAGUCCUGCAACGAGCGCAACCCCUGUCACUAGUUGCUAACAUUCAGUUGAGGACUCUAGUGAGACUGCCUACGCAAGUAGAGAGGAAGGUGGGGAUGACGUCAAAUCAUCACGGCCCUUACGUCUUGGGCCACACACGUAAUACAAUGGCCGGUACAGAGGGCAGCUACACAGCGAUGUGAUGCAAAUCUCGAAAGCCGGUCUCAGUUCGGAUUGGAGUCUGCAACUCGACUCUAUGAAGCUGGAAUCGCUAGUAAUCGCGCAUCAGCCAUGGCGCGGUGAAUACGUUCCCGGGCCUUGUACACACCGCCCGUCAAGCCAUGGAAGUUUGGGGUACCUGAAGUCGGUGACCGAAAAGGAGCUGCCUAGGGUAAAACAAGUAACUAGGGCGAAGUCGUACAGGGUAC
rnacentral:rRNA from 2 species